rnacentral:RNase_P_RNA from 2 species
GCGGGGAAACUCCUGGUCGCGCCUGACCUGCUUUUUCGGCAGGGAAGGUGAGGAAAGUCCGGGCACCGCAGGGCAAGGAUGCCAGCUAACGGCUGGUCGGCGAGCCGAGCGUCCGCCUGAGUGCCGCAAGCAGGCGGAAAGCGGCGAAGUCGAAGGACAGUGCCACAGAAACCAGACCGCCACCCCACACAGGCCCCGGCGCGGGCGCGGGUGGUCAGGGUGAAACGGUGCGGUAAGAGCGCACCAGGUUCCCGGGAGACCGGGAGCGUCUGGUCAACCCCAUCCGGUGCAAGACCCGACAGUGCGGCGAGGGCGGCCCGCCCGUUUGAGCCGCCAGGAUGGUCGCUUGAGGCGUCCUGGCAACAGGCGUCCCAGACAGAUGAUCAGGCUGCCCCAGGGCCAACCCUCUGGGGCAGACAGAACCCGGCUUACCGUUUCCCCGUGCCA